CACGUAGGAGGCGAGCGUUGUCCGGAAUCAUUGGGCGUAAAGAGCGCGCAGGCGGCUUGGCAAGUCGGGUGUGAAAUCCCGGGGCUCAACCCCGGGACUGCAUUCGAUACUGUCAGGCUAGAGGUAGGUAGGGGAGAUCGGAAUUCCUGGUGUAGCGGUGAAAUGCGCAGAUAUCAGGAGGAACACCGGUGGCGAAGGCGGCUUCUUGGGCCGUUCCUGACGCUGAGGCGCGAAAGCUGGGGGAGCGAACGGG
rnacentral:rRNA from 1 species